AUUGAACGCUGGCGGCAGGCCUAACACAUGCAAGUCGAACGAGUGGCGGACGGGUGAGUAAUGUCUGGGAAACUGCCUGCUGGAGGGGGAUAACUACUGGAAACGGUAGCUAAUACCGCAUCCCAUCGGAUGUGCCCAGAUGGGAUUAGCUGGUUGGUGGGGUAACGGCUCACCAAGGCGACGAUCCCUAGCUGGUCUGAGAGGAUGACCAGCAACACGGGAAAUGAGACACGGACCAGACUCCUAAGUGAGGCAGCAGUGGGGAAUAUUGCACAAGGGGCGGAAGCCUGAUGCAGUCAUGCGGCGUGUAUGAAGAAGGCCUUCGGGUUGUAAAGUACUUUCAGCGGGGAGGCGUUACCCGAAGAAGAAGCACCGGCUAACUCCGUGCCAGCAGCCGCGGUAAUUC
rnacentral:rRNA from 1 species